rnacentral:rRNA from 1 species
AGCGGCGGACGGGUGACUAAUGUCUGGGAAACUGCCUGAUGGAGGGGGAUAACUACUGGAAACGGUAGCUAAUACCGCAUAACGUCGCAAGACCAAAGUGGGGGACCUUCGGGCCUCAUGCCAUCAGAUGUGCCCAGAUGGGAUUAGCUAGUAGGUGGGGUAAUGGCUCACCUAGGCGACGAUCCCUAGCUGGUCUGAGAGGAUGACCAGCCACACUGGAACUGAGACACGGUCCAGACUCCUACGGGAGGCAGCAGUGGGGAAUAUUGCACAAUGGGCGCAAGCCUGAUGCAGCCAUGCCGCGUGUAUGAAGAAGGCCUUCGGGUUGUAAAGUACUUUCAGCGAGGAGGAAGGCGUUAAGGUUAAUAACCUUGGCGAUUGACGUUA